ACGCUAGCUACAGGCUUAACACAUGCAAGUCGAGGGGCAUCAGGAAGAAAGCUUGCUUUCUUUGCUGGCGACCGGCGCACGGGUGAGUAACACGUAUCCAACCUGCCCUUUACUCGGGGAUAGCCUUUCGAAAGAAAGAUUAAUACCCGAUGGCAUAAUGAUUCCGCAUGGUUUCAUUAUUAAAGGAUUCCGGUAAAGGAUGGGGAUGCGUUCCAUUAGGUUGUUGGUGAGGUAACGGCUCACCAAGCCUUCGAUGGAUAGGGGUUCUGAGAGGAAGGUCCCCCACAUUGGAACUGAGACACGGUCCAGACUCCUACGGGAGGCAGCAGUGAGGAAUAUUGGUCAAUGGGCGCUAGCCUGAACCAGCCAAGUAGCGUGAAGGAUGAAGGCUCUAUGGGUCGUAAACUUCUUUUAUAUAAGAAUAAAGUGCAGUAUGUAUACUGUUUUGUAUGUAUUAUAUGAAUAAGGAUCGGCUAACUCCGUGCCAGCAGCCGCGGUAAUACGGAGGAUCCGAGCGUUAUCCGGAUUUAUUGGGUUUAAAGGGAGCGUAGGUGGACUGGUAAGUCAGUUGUGAAAGUUUGCGGCUCAACCGUAAAAUUGCAGUUGAUACUGUCAGUCUUGAGUACAGUAGAGGUGGGCGGAAUUCGUGGUGUAGCGGUGAAAUGCUUAGAUAUCACGAAGAACUCCGAUUGCGAAGGCAGCUCACUGGACUGCAACUGACACUGAUGCUCGAAAGUGUGGGGUAUCAAACAGGGAUUAGAUACCCUGGUAGUCCACACAGUAAACGAUGAAUACUCGCUGUUUGCGAUAUACAGUAAGCGGCCAAGCGAAAGCAUUAAGUAUUCCACCUGGGGAGUACGCCGGCAACGGUGAAACUCAAAGGAAUUGACGGGGGCCCGCACAAGCGGAGGAACAUGUGGUUUAAUUCGAUGAUACGCGAGGAACCUUACCCGGGCUUAAAUUGCAGUGGAAUGAUGUGGAAACAUGUCAGUGAGCAAUCACCGCUGUGAAGGUGCUGCAUGGUUGUCGUCAGCUCGUGCCGUGAGGUGUCGGCUUAAGUGCCAUAACGAGCGCAACCCUUAUCUUUAGUUACUAACAGGUUAUGCUGAGGACUCUAGAGAGACUGCCGUCGUAAGAUGUGAGGAAGGUGGGGAUGACGUCAAAUCAGCACGGCCCUUACGUCCGGGGCUACACACGUGUUACAAUGGGGGGUACAGAAGGCAGCUAGCGGGUGACCGUAUGCUAAUCCCAAAAGCCUCUCUCAGUUCGGAUCGAAGUCUGCAACCCGACUUCGUGAAGCUGGAUUCGCUAGUAAUCGCGCAUCAGCCACGGCGCGGUGAAUACGUUCCCGGGCCUUGUACACACCGCCCGUCAAGCCAUGGGAGCCGGGGGUACCUGAAGUACGUAACCGCAAGGAUCGUCCUAGGGUAAAACUGGUGACUGGGG
rnacentral:rRNA from 1 species